rnacentral:rRNA from 1 species
UACGUAGGGUGCAAGCGUUAUCCGGAAUUAUUGGGCGUAAAGAGCUCGUAGGCGGUUUGUCGCGUCUGUCGUGAAAGUCCGGGGCUCAACUCCGGAUCUGCGGUGGGUACGGGCAGACUAGAGUGAUGUAGGGGAGACUGGAAUUCCUGGUGUAGCGGUGGAAUGCGCAGAUAUCAGGAGGAACACCGAUGGCGAAGGCAGGUCUCUGGGCAUUAACUGACGCUGAGGAGCGAAAGCAUGGGGAGCGAACAGGAUUAGAUACC